rnacentral:rRNA from 1 species
UACGGAAGGGGCAAGCGUUGUUCGGAAUCAUUGGGCGUAAAGGGCGCGUAGGUGGUUCCGUAUGUCUAUCGUGAAAGCGUACGGCUCAACCGUAUUUUGUCGGUAGAAACUGCAGGACUUGAGGCUGGGAGGGGCUGGUGGAAUUCCCUGUGUAGCGGUGAAAUGCGUAGAGAUGGGGGAGAACACUCGUGGCGAAGGCGGCCAGCUAGACCGGUUCUGACACUGAGGCGCGACAGCGUGGGGAGCAAACAGG